AAACAAAAAAAAAGAAACAACAAAUUGUUCUUUCUGGCUUGAGAAACACUUCUUGGACGCUCGAAAGGAACAAAAAUGAAAAGAACAAAAAAACGAAACGGGAACACUUCGUUCGUUCGUGCUCUCCUUCGUUCGUCCCCUUCUCCUUCGUUCGUCCUCCUUCUCCGGCGACUCCUCACUCGGCCAACGCUCCGGCGAAGAACGACGCCGACGCACCGGCUGUCUCUGGCAACUUUCCGGCGUGUCUCCCUUCUCUCCGGCGCCUCCCACUCGGCCUCGUCUCUCCGGCGACUCCACCGGCUGAAGCUCCGAAUCCAGGCUGGUGAAGCACGUGGCGAGGGCGUUCAACGAGGAUUUCACCACCAAGGGGUAGAACCAGCCGAAGUCGGGCCGCAGCGUGGUUGUGUGGCAUCGUAAGAAGGGCGUGAGAGUCGAAACCCACACUUGAAACUCAUUCGUCCCCACCCCCAACCCCCUUGAGAAGGUAGGGAUUCGAACCCUCCACCUCCUCCUUCCAUAUUGGAAGAGUGCCAGUUCUCUUUUACGGAGUUGGCCUCUCGUCAGAUGGCACAGAUUUCUCAUGUCAUUUAUCUAUCAGCGAAUCCAUAUGUUGUUGAUGUUGCAAGACGCUAUAAGGUACCAAAUGGUCCAAAGAGAGCAAUAGAAGUCGAAAACAGAGCUAGCACUUCCUCCCUUUUUUUGUUGCACAUGUCACUCCUUGUUAUUUUCCUCUAUGUAUGUGCGCGCGUAUAUAUAUAAUCUCAUCCAUGAUCAUGAAA